ACGCGACACCGUUUCAAACACAGAGUGAAACAAAUAAAUACAUUUCUUAUCACGCUUCAGCGAAAGUAUAAAAUUUGAACAGUCGUUUUCGAUAGACAAUUUUCCACGAGAAAUUUUAAAAUUCGAAUUAAAGUAUCACACCACGCGUUCCAACUGGGCUACUUAAAACAAAUAAUAUUUAUCAAUAAUAGUGAACGUAAUUAGUUCGAAAAAAGCGUGACGUUCG